AGGAUGGACAGACAGCUCUACACGUUGCUGAUAAUGUUGAGGUUGUUGAUUAUUUGUUGAGCAUUGGUCUCAACACUGAAGAUCGUGAUAAGGCUGGCUACACACCAUUUCUCAGGGCAUGUCGUAAUGGUCACUUAUUGAAAGUACAACGUCUCAUUCGAUCAAAGUGCAACAAAGCAGCAACAACUACUAAUGGAUCAACUGCAUUACAUCUGAUCUGUUCAGCCAGUUUUCUUACUUAUGACCAUUUAUCAAUUGUGAAGCUGUUAACAUCUUUCUC